rnacentral:tRNA from 1 species
GGUGGGGGUUCCCGAGCGGCCAAAGGGAGGCAGACUGUAAAUCUGCCGUCAUCGACUUCGAAGGUUCGAAUCCUUCCCCCACCACCA